AUGGCAUAAUGAUGGCAGCGCUGUCUCCAGCAGAGACUCAGUGAAAUCGAAAUCGCAGUGAAGAUGCUGUGUACCCGCGGCUAGACGGAAAGACCCCGUGAACCUUUACUACAGCUUUACAUUGAACUUUGACCUAACUUGUGUAGGAUAGGUGGGAGGCUUUGAAGCAGAUACGCCAGUAUUUGUGGAGCCAACCUUGAAAUACCACCCUGGUUAUGUUGGGGUUCUAACUUAGGAUCAACAAAUCCAAGGACAAUGUAUGGUGGGUAGUUUGACUGGGGCGGUCUCCUCCUAAAGAGUAACGGAGGAGUACGAAGGUGCGCUCAGAACGGUCGGAAAUCGUUCAAAGAGUAUAAAGGCAAAAGCGCGCUUAACUGCGAGACCCACAAGUCGAGCAGGUACGAAAGUAGGUCUUAGUGAUCCGGUGGUUCUGUAUGGAAGGGCCAUCGCUCAACGGAUAAAAGGUACUCUGGGGAUAACAGGCUGAUACCGC
rnacentral:rRNA from 1 species